AUUGAACGCUAGCGGGAUGCCUAACACAUGCAAGUCGAACGGAGUGGCGAUGGCGGGCGUAAUGUUACGGCAUGAGCCCAGUCGCGGUGGAUAGCUACGCCAACGCGAAGCUAAUACCGCAUACUCUUGGCCCGGCCGUUAUCGGAGUAGCUAGUUGGGGGGUUAACGGUACACCAAGGCGACGAUCCGUAGCCGGUUUGAGAGGACGAGCAGCCACACUGGGACUGAGACACGGUCCAGACUCGUACGGGAGGCAGCAGUGGGGAAUUUUGGACAAUGGGGGAAACCCUGAUCCAGCCAUGCCGCGUGUGCGAAGAAGGCCUUCGGGUUGUAAAGCACUUUUAGCAGGAAAGCGGUACCUGCAGAAGAAGCACCGGCUAACUACGUGCCAGCAGCCGCGGUAAUUC
rnacentral:rRNA from 1 species